rnacentral:rRNA from 1 species
GACGAACGCUGGCGGCGUGCUUAACACAUGCAAGUCGAACGGAAAGGCCCUGCUUGCAGGGUGCUCGAGUGGCGAACGGGUGAGUAACACGUGGGUGAUCUGCCCCUUACUUUGGGAUAAGCCUGGGAAACUGGGUCUAAUACUGGAUAGGACCAUGCUGUAGGUGGUGUGGUGGAAAGAUUAGUUUCGGUAAGGGAUGAGCUCGCGGCCUAUCAGCUUGUUGGUGGGGUAAUGGCCUACCAAGGCGUCGACGGGUAGCCGGCCUGAGAGGGUGGACGGCCACAUUGGGACUGAGAUACGGCGCAGACUCCUACGGGAGGCAGCAGUGGGGAAGAUUGCACAAUGGGCGCAAGCCUGAUGCAGCGACGCCGCGUGGGGGAUGACGGCCUUCGGGUUGUAAACUCCUUUCAGCCAUGACGAAGCCCUUGUGGUGACGGUAGUGGUAGAAGAAGCACCGGCUAACUACGUG